CUGGCUCAGGACGAACGCUGGCGGCGUGCCUAAUACAUGCAAGUCGAACGAACUCUGGUAUUGAUUGGUGCUUGCAUCAUGAUUUACAUUUGAGUGAGUGGCGAACUGGUGAGUAACACGUGGGAAACCUGCCCAGAAGCGGGGGAUAACACCUGGAAACAGAUGCUAAUACCGCAUAACAACUUGGACCGCAUGGUCCGAGUUUGAAAGAUGGCUUCGGCUAUCACUUUUGGAUGGUCCCGCGGCGUAUUAGCUAGAUGGUGAGGUAACGGCUCACCAUGGCAAUGAUACGUAGCCGACCUGAGAGGGUAAUCGGCCACAUUGGGACUGAGACACGGCCCAAACUCCUACGGGAGGCAGCAGUAGGGAAUCUUCCACAAUGGACGAAAGUCUGAUGGAGCAACGCCGCGUGAGUGAAGAAGGGUUUCGGCUCGUAAAACUCUGUUGUUAAAGAAGAACAUAUCUGAGAGUAACUGUUCAGGUAUUGACGGUAUUUAACCAGAAAGCCACGGCUAACUACGUGCCAGCAGCCGCGGUAAUACGUAGGUGGCAAGCGUUGUCCGGAUUUAUUGGGCGUAAAGCGAGCGCAGGCGGUUUUUUAAGUCUGAUGUGAAAGCCUUCGGCUCAACCGAAGAAGUGCAUCGGAAACUGGGAAACUUGAGUGCAGAAGAGGACAGUGGAACUCCAUGUGUAGCGGUGAAAUGCGUAGAUAUAUGGAAGAACACCAGUGGCGAAGGCGGCUGUCUGGUCUGUAACUGACGCUGAGGCUCGAAAGUAUGGGUAGCAAACAGGAUUAGAUACCCUGGUAGUCCAUACCGUAAACGAUGAAUGCUAAGUGUUGGAGGGUUUCCGCCCUUCAGUGCUGCAGCUAACGCAUUAAGCAUUCCGCCUGGGGAGUACGGCCGCAAGGCUGAAACUCAAAGGAAUUGACGGGGGCCCGCACAAGCGGUGGAGCAUGUGGUUUAAUUCGAAGCUACGCGAAGAACCUUACCAGGUCUUGACAUACUAUGCAAAUCUAAGAGAUUAGACGUUCCCUUCGGGGACAUGGAUACAGGUGGUGCAUGGUUGUCGUCAGCUCGUGUCGUGAGAUGUUGGGUUAAGUCCCGCAACGAGCGCAACCCUUAUUAUCAGUUGCCAGCAUUAAGUUGGGCACUCUGGUGAGACUGCCGGUGACAAACCGGAGGAAGGUGGGGAUGACGUCAAAUCAUCAUGCCCCUUAUGACCUGGGCUACACACGUGCUACAAUGGAUGGUACAACGAGUUGCGAACUCGCGAGAGUAAGCUAAUCUCUUAAAGCCAUUCUCAGUUCGGAUUGUAGGCUGCAACUCGCCUACAUGAAGUCGGAAUCGCUAGUAAUCGCGGAUCAGCAUGCCGCGGUGAAUACGUUCCCGGGCCUUGUACACACCGCCCGUCACACCAUGAGAGUUUGUAACACCCAAAGUCGGUGGGGUAACCUUUUAGGAACCAGCCGCCUAAGGUGGGACAGAUGAUUAGGGUGAAGUCGU
rnacentral:rRNA from 2 species